AACGAACGCUGGCGGCAUGCCUAACACAUGCAAGUCGAACGAGACCUUCGGGUCUAGUGGCGCACGGGUGCGUAACGCGUGGGAACCUGCCCUUAGGUUCGGAAUAACUCCCCGAAGGGGGUGCUAAUACCGGAUAAUGUCUUCGGACCAAAGAUUUAUCGCCUUUGGAUGGGCCCGCGUUGGAUUAGCUAGUUGGUAGGGUAAAAGCCUACCGAGGCGACGAUCCAUAGCUGGUCUGAGAGGAUGAUCAGCCACACUGGGACUGAGACACGGCCCAGACUCCUACGGGAGGCAGCAGUGGGGAAUAUUGGACAAUGGGCGAAAGCCUGAUCCAGCAAUGCCGCGUGAGUGAUGAAGGCCUUAGGGUUGUAAAGCUCUUUUACCCGGGAUGAUAAUGACAGUACCGGGAGAAUAAGCGCCGGCUAACUCCGUG
rnacentral:rRNA from 1 species